rnacentral:rRNA from 1 species
GGACGAAAGUCUGAACCAGCCAUGCCGCGUGAAGGAUGACUGCCCUAUGGGUUGUAAACUUCUUUUGUAUAGGAAGAAACCCCUCUACGUGUAGAGGGCUGACGGUACUAUUCGAAUAAGCACCGGCUAACUCCGUGCCAGCAGCCGCGGUAAUACGGAGGGUGCGAGCGUUAUCCGGAAUUAUUGGGUUUAAAGGGUGCGUAGGCGGAAAUUUAAGUCAGUGGUGAAAGCCUACAGCUUAACUGUAGAAUUGCCAUUGAAACUGAAUUUCUUGAAUCUAAUUGAAGUAGGCGGAAUAUGACAUGUAGCGGUGAAAUGCUUAGAUAUGUCAUAGAACACCGAUAGCGAAGGCAGCUUACUAAGUUAGUAUUGACGCUAAUGCACGAAAGCGUGGGUAGCGAACAGGAUUAGAUACCCUGGUAGUCCACGCCGUAAACGAUGAUUACUCGCUAUUGGCGAUAUACUGUCAGUGGCUAAGCGAAAGUGAUAAGUAAUCCACCUGGGGAGUACGAUCGCAAGGUUGAAACUCAAAGGAAUUGACGGGGGCCCGCACAAGCGGUGGAGCAUGUGGUUUAAUUCGAUGAUACGCGAGGAACCUUACCAGGUCUUAAAUGCAUAACGAACAGUUGGGAAACCAACCUUUCUUCGGACGGAAUGCAAGGUGCUGCAUGGUUGUCGUCAGCUCGUGCCGUGAGGUGUCAGGUUAAGUCCUAUAACGAGCGCAACCCCUAUUCUUAGUUGCCAGCGGUUCGGCCGGGGACUCUAAGAAAACUGCCAGUGCAAGCUGUGAGGAAGGUGGGGAUGACGUCAAAUCAUCACGGCC